GAGAUGGGUAGAAGAGACAUGUACCACCGGACACGUGAAACCCUGUGGGAAGCAGGAGGGACCACCCUCCAAGGCUAAAUACUACCUAGUGACCGAUAGCGUAUAGUACCGUGAGGGAAAGGUGAAAAGAACCCCGGGAGGGGAGUGAAAUAGAACCUGAAACCCUGCACUUACAAGCUGUGGAAGCACAUUUCUUGUGUGACCGCGUACUUUUUGUAGAACGGGCCAACGAGUUACGUUAAGUAGCCAGGGUAAGCACUUAAGGUGCGGAGCAGUAGCGAAAGCGAGUUGUAACUGCGCGUUCAGGUACUUGACUGAGACACGACACCGGGCGACCUACCCAU
rnacentral:rRNA from 1 species